rnacentral:rRNA from 1 species
GUUGAAACACCAGUUCCCGUACGAUCAUCGAAGUUAAGCAACGUCGAGCCUGAUCAGUACCUAGAUGGGUGACCCUUGGGAAUGCCAGGUACAGUA